rnacentral:rRNA from 1 species
CCUACGGGAGGCAGCAGUGGGGAAUAUUGGACAAUGGGCGAAAGCCUGAUCCAGCAAUGCCGCGUGAGUGAUGAAGGCCUUAGGGUUGUAAAGCUCUUUUACCAGGGAUGAUAAUGACAGUACCUGGAGAAUAAGCUCCGGCUAACUCCGUGCCAGCAGCCGCGGUAAUACGGAGGGAGCUAGCGUUGUUCGGAAUUACUGGGCGUAAAGCGCGCGUAGGCGGCGAUUCAAGUCAGAGGUGAAAGCCCGGGGCUCAACCCCGGAACUGCCUUUGAAACUAGAUUGCUAGAAUCUUGGAGAGGUCAGUGGAAUUCCGAGUGUAGAGGUGAAAUUCGUAGAUAUUCGGAAGAACACCAGUGGCGAAGGCGACUGACUGGACAAGUAUUGACGCUGAGGUGCGAAAGCGUGGGGAGCAAACAGGAUUAGAUACCCAGGUAGUCCACGCCGUAAACGAUGAUAACUAGCUGUCCGGGCACUUGGUGUCGUUGGUGGUCGCGNGCUACGACAUUAAGUUAUCCGUCCGUCGGGUAGGUACGGUCGCGAGAGUUAAACGUACUAAGUAGUAAGUUAGUUACGUCGUUGAGACGUUGCCGACGGCGACGACGAGGGAGGAGG